ACGGUCGCAAGACUGAAGCUCAAAGGAAGUGACGGGGACCAGAACAAGCAGUAGAGUAUGUGGUUUAAUUCGAAGCGACGCGAAGAUCCUUACCAGGUCUUGAUAUCUGAAUGACCGGUGCAGAGAUGUAACUUAUCUUCGGAACAUUCAAGACAGGUAGUGCAUGGUUGUCGGCAGCUCGUGUCGUGAGAUAUUGGGUUAAGUCCCGCAUCGAGCGCAACCCUUGAUCUUAGUUGCCAGCACUUCGGGUGGGCACUCUAAGGUGACUGCCGGUGACAAACCGGAGGAAGGUGGGGAUGACAUCAAAUCAUCAUGCCCCUUAUGACC
rnacentral:rRNA from 1 species